rnacentral:tRNA from 1 species
GGCCUGAUGGUCUAGUGGUAUGAUUCCUGCUUUGGGUGCAGGAGGCCCCGGGUGUAAGUUCACCCAAUAAGUUUCGAUCUCGUACACAAUUUCUAAUCAGCGUACAGUCGAAUCCCGGUCAGGCCC